UACGUAGGGGGCAAGGCGUUGUCCGGAUUUAUUGGGCGUAAAGAGCGUGUAGGCGGCUUGACAAGUCACUUGUGAAAUCUCCGGGCUUAACUCGGAACGGCCAAGUGAAACUGUCAUGCUAGAGUGCAGAAGGGGCAAUCGGAAUUCUUGGUGUAGCGGUGAAAUGCGUAGAUAUCGUCUGGAACGCCAAAGGUGAAAACAGACUGCUGGGAGUGUGCUGACGCUGAGACACGAAAGCCAGGGGAGCAAACGGG
rnacentral:rRNA from 1 species